rnacentral:tRNA from 1 species
GGGAUUGUGGCAGACAAGGUAAUGUGUCGGACUCUUAAUCCGAGCGAUGUGAGUUCGAUUCUCACCGAUCCCA